UACGAAGGGUGCAAGCGUUACUCGGAAUUACUGGGCGUAAAGCGUGCGUAGGUGGUUCGUUAAGUCUGAUGUGAAAGCCCUGGGCUCAACCUGGGAACGGCAUUGGAUACUGGCGACCUAGAGUGCGGUAGAGGGUGGCGGAAUUCCCGGUGUAGCAGUGAAAUGCGUAGAUAUCGGGAGGAACAUCCGUGGCGAAGGCGGCCACCUGGACCAGCACUGACACUGAGGCACGAAAGCGUGGGGAGCAAACAGG
rnacentral:rRNA from 1 species